GUGGGGAAUAUUGGGCAAUGGGGGCAACCCUGACCCAGCGACGCCGCGUGGAGGAAGAAGUCCCUCGGGAUGUAAACUCCUGUUGUGUGGGAAGAAGCGAGUGACGGUACCACACGAGGAAGCCCCGGCAAACUACGUGCCAGCAGCCGCGGUAAUACGUAGGGGGCGAGCGUUGUCCGGAAUCACUGGGCGUAAAGGGCACGCAGGCGGACCGACAGGUCGUUUGUGAAAGGCGAGGGCUCAACCCUUGUUUGCGGACGAAACCGUCGGACUGGAGUACGGGAGAGGGAAGUGGAAUUCCCGGUGUAGCGGUGAAAUGGGUGGAUAUCGGGAGGAACACCAGUGGCGAAGGCGGCUUCCUGGCCGGAUACUGACGCUCAAGUGCGAAAGCUGGGGGAGCGAACGGGAUUAGAAACCCUUGUAGUCC
rnacentral:rRNA from 1 species